rnacentral:rRNA from 1 species
AGUACGGCGAGUGAGCGGCAAAAGCUCAAAUUUGAAAUCUGGCACCUUCGGUGUCCGAGUUGUAAUUUGAAGAAGGUAACUUUGGAGUUGGCUCUUGUCUAUGUUCCUUGGAACAGGACGUCACAGAGGGUGAGAAUCCCGUGCGAUGAGAUGCCCAAUUCUAUGUAAAGUGCUUUCGAAGAGUCGAGUUGUUUGGGAAUGCAGCUCUAAGUGGGUGGUAAAUUCCAUCUAAAGCUAAAUAUUGGCGAGAGACCGAUAGCGAACAAGUACAGUGAUGGAAAGAUGAAAAGAACUUUGAAAAGAGAGUGAAAAAGUACGUGAAAUUGUUGAAAGGGAAGGGCUUGAGAUCAGACUUGGUAUUUUGCGAUCCUUUCCUUCUUGGUUGGGUUCCUCGCAGCUUACUGGGCCAGCAUCGGUUUGGAUGGUAGGAUAAUGACUAAGGAAUGUGGCUCUACUUCGGUGGAGUGUUAUAGCCUUGGUUGAUACUGCCUGUCUAGACCGAGGACUGCGUCUUUUGACUAGGAUGUUGGCAUAAUGAUCUUAAGCCACCCGUCUUGA